rnacentral:rRNA from 1 species
CACAUGAACAUCGACAUUUUGAACGCAUAUUGCGGUCCAUACUGACUAGUUUCUUAAUUGAAGCUGUAUGGACCACACAUGGUUGAGGGUCGUUAGUUUAUGCUAACUGAAUUGCUUUUUAAUUAAGGCUACAUCAUGAGGUGUUGUCAAUCUUAAGUGUAUUGACAUCCCUUGAAAAUACCUUUGGUACACAAUUUUUUAUUGUGAAUGCUUGUUUUAUCAAAGAAAACAAAUAUCUUGCAAGAACUUGUGAAAACAUUUUCUUUUGAAGUUAGUAAGCUUUGAUUAAGCGUUUAAACAUAAUAGUUUACGUGAUCAAAUUAAAUUCUAUUUGAACGCUUCAAAAUGUAAUGUGUGAGUAACGAAACCUUGUUUUGGAUAUUUAUUCGAUAAUUUUCUUUGAAUAGACGUUCCCAACAAUGUUGAAAGCGGGUGGCAUUUAUGGCAACAAUAAAAUACAAAUUGAUUUAAACAAACCAAAAGCGACCUCAACUCAUGUGAGACUA